UACAGAGGUCUCAAGCGUUGUUCGGAUUCAUUGGGCGUAAAGGGUGCGUAGGUGGCGGGGUAAGUCAGGUGUGAAAUUUCGGAGCUUAACUCCGAAACUGCAUUUGAUACUGCCUUGCUUGAGGACUGGAGAGGAGACUGGAAUUCACGGUGUAGCAGUGAAAUGCGUAGAGAUCGUGAGGAAGACCAGUGGCGAAGGCGGGUCUCUGGACAGUUCCUGACACUGAGAAGCGACAGCUAGGGGAGCAAACGGG
rnacentral:rRNA from 1 species